rnacentral:rRNA from 1 species
AGAACUUAGCAGAGAUGCUUUGGUGCCUUCGGGAACUCUGAGACAGGUGCUGCAUGGCUGUCGUCAGCUCGUGUUGUGAAAUGUUGGGUUAAGUCCCGCAACGAGCGCAACCCUUAUCCUUUGUUGCCAGCGGUCCGGCCGGGAAACUCAAAGGAGACUGCCAGUGAUAAACUGGAGGAAGGUGGGGAUGACGUCAAGUCAUCAUGGCCCUUACGAGUAGGGCUACACACGUGCUACAAUGGCGCAUACAAAGAGAAGCGACCUCGCGAGAGCAAGCGGACCUCAUAAAGUGCGUCGUAGUCCGGAUUGGAGUCUGCAACCCGACUCCAUGAAGUCGGAAUCGCUAGUAAUCGUAGAUCAGAAUGCUACGGUGAAUACGUUCCCGGGCCUUGUACACACCGCCCGUCACACCAUGGGAGUGGGUUGCAAAAGAAGUAGGUAGCUUAAUCUUCGGGAGGGCGCUUACCACUUUGUGAUUCAUGACUGGGGUGAAGUCGUAACAAGGUAGGCGUAGCGAG